ACACUGAUGGUGAAGCGGUUAUCAUGCUUGCCUUCCAUAUCGAGGAAUUGUCUCAUGAUUGAGCAAGCGGCAGGGGUUCGACUCCCCUUCAGUGUA